rnacentral:rRNA from 1 species
CAGUAGCCACGGUAAUACGUAGGUGGCAAGCGUUGUCCGGAAUUAUUGGGCAUAAAGGGCUCGCAGGCGGUUUCUUAAGUCUGAUGUGAAAGCCCCCGGCUUAACCGGGGAGGGUCAUUGGAAACUGGGAAACUUGAGUGCAGAAGAGGAGAGUGGAAUUCCACGUGUAGCGGUGAAAUGCGUAGAGAUGUGGAGGAACACCAGUGGCGAAGGCGACUCUCUGGUCUGUAACUGACGCUGAGGAGCGAAAGCGUGGGGAGCGAACAGGAUUAGAUACCCCGGUAGUCCCUGUCUCUUAUAU